CUUGCUUCUCUUGAGAGCGGCGGACGGGUGAGUAAUGCCUAGGAAUCUGCCUGGUAGUGGGGGAUAACGUCCGGAAACGGACGCUAAUACCGCAUACGUCCUACGGGAGAAAGCAGGGGACCUUCGGGCCUUGCGCUAUCAGAUGAGCCUAGGUCGGAUUAGCUAGUUGGUGGGGUAAUGGCUCACCAAGGCGACGAUCCGUAACUGGUCUGAGAGGAUGAUCAGUCACACUGGAACUGAGACACGGUCCAGACUCCUACGGGAGGCAGCAGUGGGGAAUAUUGGACAAUGGGCGAAAGCCUGAUCCAGCCAUGCCGCGUGUGUGAAGAAGGUCUUCGGAUUGUAAAGCACUUUAAGUUGGGAGGAAGGGCAGUAAAUUAAUACUUUGCUGUUUUGACGUUACCGACAGAAUAAGCACCGGCUAACUCUGUGCCAGCAGCCGCGGUAAUACAGAGGGUGCAAGCGUUAAUCGGAAUUACUGGGCGUAAAGCGCGCGUAGGUGGUUCGUUAAGUUGGAUGUGAAAUCCCCGGGCUCAACCUGGGAACUGCAUUCAAAACUGACGAGCUAGAGUAUGGUAGAGGGUGGUGGAAUUUCCUGUGUAGCGGUGAAAUGCGUAGAUAUAGGAAGGAACACCAGUGGCGAAAGCGACCACCUGGACUGAUACUGACACUGAUGUGCGAAAAGCGU
rnacentral:rRNA from 1 species